CGGGCUAACAUCAGAUGAUAUAUAAUCACGACAUCGUGGAAAUAUCAAAUCUUCGGAGCCUUGGGAUGAGCCUGCGUCUGAUUAGGUAGUUGGCGGAGUAAUAGCCCACCAAGCCUACGAUCAGUAGCUGGUCUGAGAGGAUGAUCAGCCACACUGGAACUGAGACACGGUCCAGACUCCUACGGGAGGCAGCAGUAAGGAAUAUUGCUCAAUGGGGGGAAACCCUGAAGCAGCAACGCCGCGUGAAGGAUGAAAUACUUUUGUAUGUAAACUUCUGUAAGAUGGGAAAAUAUUCUCCUCGGGAGAAUUGAUUGUACCAUCAGAGUAAGCCCCGGCUAACUACGUG
rnacentral:rRNA from 1 species